rnacentral:rRNA from 1 species
UACAGGCUUAACACAUGCAAGUCGAGGGGCAGCAUGGUCUUAGCUUGCUAAGGCCGAUGGCGACCGGCGCACGGGUGAGUAACACGUAUCCAACCUGCCGUCUACUCUUGGACAGCCUUCUGAAAGGAAGAUUAAUACAAGAUGGCAUCAUGAGUCCGCAUGUUCACAUGAUUAAAGGUAUUCCGGUAGACGAUGGGGAUGCGUUCCAUUAGAUAGUAGGCGGGGUAACGGCCCACCUAGUCUUCGAUGGAUAGGGGUUCUGAGAGGAAGGUCCCCCACAUUGGAACUGAGACACGGUCCAAACUCCUACGGGAGGCAGCAGUGAGGAAUAUUGGUCAAUGGGCGAGAGCCUGAACCAGCCAAGUAGCGUGAAGGAUGACUGCCCUAUGGGUUGUAAACUUCUUUUAUAAAGGAAUAAAGUCGGGUAUGGAUACCCGUUUGCAUGUACUUUAUGAAUAAGGAUCGGCUAACUCCGUGCCAGCAGCCGCGGUAAUACGGAGGAUCCGAGCGUUAUCCGGAUUUAUUGGGUUUAAAGGGAGCGUAGAUGGAUGUUUAAGUCAGUUGUGAAAGUUUGCGGCUCAACCGUAAAAUUGCAGUUGAUACUGGAUAUCUUGAGUGCAGUUGAGGCAGGCGGAAUUCGUGGUGUAGCGGUGAAAUGCUUAGAUAUCACGAAGAACUCCGAUUGCGAAGGCAGCCUGCUAAGCUGCAACUGACAUUGAGGCUCGAAAGUGUGGGUAUCAAACAGGAUUAGAUACCCUGGUAGUCCACACGGUAAACGAUGAAUACUCGCUGUUUGUGAUAUACUGCAAGCGGCCAAGCGAAAGCGUUAAGUAUUCCACCUGGGGAGUACGCCGGCAACGGUGAAACUCAAAGGAAUUGACGGGGGCCCGCACAAGCGGAGGAACAUGUGGUUUAAUUCGAUGAUACGCGAGGAACCUUACCCGGGCUUAAAUUGCAGAUGAAUUACGGUGAAAGCCGUAAGCCGCAAGGCAUCUGUGAAGGUGCUGCAUGGUUGUCGUCAGCUCGUGCCGUGAGGUGUCGGCUUAAGUGCCAUAACGAGCGCAACCCUUGUUGUCAGUUACUAACAGGUUCCGCUGAGGACUCUGACAAGACUGCCAUCGUAAGAUGUGAGGAAGGUGGGGAUGACGUCAAAUCAGCACGGCCCUUACGUCCGGGGCUACACACGUGUUACAAUGGGGGGUACAGAGGGCCGCUACCACGCGAGUGGAUGCCAAUCCCCAAAACCUCUCUCAGUUCGGACUGGAGUCUGCAGCCCGACUCCACGAAGCUGGAUUCGCUAGUAAUCGCGCAUCAGCCACGGCGCGGUGAAUACGUUCCCGGGCCUUGUACACACCGCCCGUCAAGCCAUGGGAGCCGGGGGUACCUGAAGUGCGUAACCGCGAGGAGCGCCCUAGGGUAAAACUGGUGACUGGGGCUAAGUCGUA